rnacentral:sRNA from 1 species
AAGGUGCGAUUCGAGCGCAGCGAGAAAGCGUUGCCGCAGGCAACGACCCGAAGGGCGAAGCGCGCAGCGCUGAGUCAUCCUUCCCCCACCACCA